UACAGUGAGAGGUUAGUCGGGAGUAGGAGAGGGCGACCGAGCGCGAUGACGGGCUCGUAGAGUGAGUCGGGGGCUUCUGUGCGAUGGAACCACCCCAGAGAUUUGAGCUUAUGGUGUUGUCGAAAGCUUCCGCGGGGAAGACGCUUUAUGUGCUGUUUUGAUCAAUGACUGGAAAGGAAUCCGUGCCCCUAAAAAGGCUGUUUGAUCGCAAACCCAGUCCCCUUCCAGGAACAAUGGCACCAUGCUUCUCCAGGCCGUGGGAGCAGCGGCGCACAGAGGCCAAGGAGAAAGGCCUAAGCCAUCGGAGGAAAUGCUUAACGGAAACUUUCUUGUUUAAAACCUGACUUCCCAGUGAAGAGCUUCCAGGAUUCUGAAUACUGAGACCAUGAAGUCCACACAGGCACUUAAUUUUGAAUGGGAUGCCAACCCAUUGGAAUGCCAGCGGCCCAUCAGAAACUUAAAGAAUGGCCAGUGACAAGACCUGUAUGUGAUAAACAUCAAGAAAAUGCUAACAUAAGAAAAGUAAAAUUUUGGGAUAGCAUGGUGCAUACAUAGAUGUCAGCACGUAAUCCAUGUGUGUGGCUUUCUUUGUGACAGUCUUUAGCUCCGGCUGGCCUGGAACUAGCCAUGUAGACCACAGAAAUCCAUGUGCCUACUAGGUGCUGGAAUUAAAGGCAUGCACCACCACAA